rnacentral:rRNA from 1 species
GGCGAACGGGUGAGGAACACGUAAGAAUCUGCCCCUCGGUCGGGGACAACUCUUGGAAACGAGAGCUAAUACCCGAUACGCUGUGGAGUGAAAGAAUUUCGCCGAGGGAUGAUCUUGCGUCUGAUUAGCUAGUUGGUAUGGUAAUGGCAUACCAAGGCGACGAUCAGUAGCUGGUCUGAGAGGAUGAACAGCCCCAUUGGAACUGAGACACGGUCCAAACUCCUACGGGAGGCAGCAGUGGGGAAUUUUCCGCAAUGGACGAAAGUCUGACGGAGCGACGCUGCGUGAAGGAUGACGGCCUGCGGGUUGUAAACUUCUUUUCUCGAAGAAGAAGCUCUGACGGUAUUCGAGGAAUAAGCAUCGGCUAACUCCGUGCCAGCAGCCGCGGUAAUACGGAGGAUGCAAGUGUUAUUCGGAAUGAUUGGGCGUAAAGCGUCUGUAGGCUGUAUAGAAAGUCUUUUGUUAAAUGCCUCGGCUCAACCGAGAUCCAGCAAAGGAAACUUCUAUACUUGAGGGAAGUAGAGGUACAGGGAAUUCCCGGUGGAGCGGUGAAAUGCGUAGAUAUCGGGAGGAACACCAAUAUGGCGAAGGCACUGUACUGGGCUUUACCUGACGCUCAGAGACGAAAGCUAAAGGAGUGAUUAGGAUUAGAUACCCUAGUAAUUUUAGCCGUAAACGAUGGAAACUCACUGCCGAGCGAAAUACAACGAGCGGUGGUCAAGCUAACGCGUGAAGUUUCC